CAUGAACUUUGACAUACAACAGUGGUUAUGGUGCUGCGGUCUUCUGUUCCUUUUCCCAACAGCUGAGCAUAAGUGAUUAUAGCUGCAGCAGGGAGUAGAGGAAUAGGAUAGAUGAAUGCAGUUCCAAGAUGAUUCUUCCCAGCAAAUAGAAUAUCCCCCAAACAUGAGCCUAGACUUCAUAAAGGGUGUAACAGGAAUGGAUUUUAUUGACAACACACAGGCUUUUAUGAGAAAUCCUCCUGCAAAAGGACCGCCCACAACAAACAAAGACAACAGCCAAUCAACGUACAGAAUUACAGUAAUACACGCCUCCUCUCUACCUGGGAGAUAUUGAGAUAAGUUAAGGGAUUAUCUCCAGGCAGAGAGCACACAAUUUCCCCGAAACUUAGAACACCCCUUUCCCCACAAGGUAUCCCCACAAAUUGCAUAUCCCCUGAUAGCCCCGAUCUGGGGGACAAACAUAUCCAAAUUUCACCCAGAUCGGUUCAGGGGUUCUUAAAAAGUAUGGAGGGUGUUACAAAAGACUGGAGAUCACCAUGUUGCUGUUUUUACUCACUGAUUGAUACUGUUUGCCACUGCAUAAGUUAAACAGAACACCACACGAAUGGAUUACACGAACCCUUAGGGAGGCUCCAUUCGUGGUACGAACGGGGGACCCCCCAGAAACUGGCGUGUGCCGCCACUUAACCCCGUCACCCCGCAAACUACCGAACGGGCGGCCCCCCCGGCUCGCGGAGUGUGGUAGCCAUUAACCACCCAGAUGGCUGCGGUUUGCGGUUAACCACAAUGUAAUUGGUAGGCCCGAGGGCAUCGACGUUCGCACCCAAAGUGCCGAAGGGAAAAUACCGAACGAUCCACCGAACGACGACCCCCUACAGCGGGUCGCGUGGCGCUCAUUAACUGUGGUUUCUGCGGUUAACCGCAGGUCAAGUACCCUGCUCCCAGGUGGUCCUCAUUCCCUUACCGAACGAGCCCACUACCAGCCCGACAGCGGGACUUCGUAGGAACUGAUACCGAGUUUAGUUCCACGAGUUAGACACGAAGUCCCGCUGCUCGCUAAACCAGCAGAAAACAUGGCCGCCAACAAAGACUAAACAUCUCAAAAUGCCGAACGGACUUUAUACGGCAGAAACAGUACAUUCUGUUCGUGGGAUUAGAGCGGCAUUCGCCUGGUUUAUCUAUACGAACGCGAGCCUUCAAAUGAAUGGUGGAAUGAAUGGUUUUCCUGUAAUAAUGUACAAGUUAUGGAUUUUUAUGUAGUUUUCUGGGACAUAAUAAAACGUGGUCUUUUGUGCGCUUGGAGAUAAUUAGAUUGUAAAACCGUUGGCCUCAUUAUCUCCUAGCUAGGCAGGUACUAAUUCAAAUAAUACAGUGUACUGUGAUUGGUUACCUGUUUGUACUGUACCUGUAUUCCAUCAGGUCCACAGGGGGCUGUCCUUGGACCUGAGGAAUCACAUAAAUUGCCAUGCUAUGUGC